CAAUAGCGUAUAUUAAAGUUGUUGCGGUUAAAAAGCUCGUAGUUGGAUUUCUGCCGAGGACGUCCGGUCCGCCCUCUGGGUGAGUACAUGGCACGGCCUGGGCAUCUUCUUGGGGAACGUAUCUGCACUUGACUGUGUGGUGCGGUAUCCAGGACUUUUACUUUGAGGAAAUUAGAGUGUUUCAAGCAGGCACACGCCUUGAAUACAUUAGCAUGGAAUAAUAAGAUAGGACCUCGGUUCUAUUUUGUUGGUUUCUAGAGCUGAGGUAAUGAUUAAUAGGGAUAGUUGGGGGCAUUCGUAUUUAACUGUCAGAGGUGAAAUUCUUGGAUUUGUUACAGACGGACUACUGCGAAAGCAUUUGCCAAGGAUGUUUUCAUUGA
rnacentral:rRNA from 1 species